AUGACUCUCCGGUAUACCCAUCUCAAUUCCGACUACUCCCUCUAUUCCGCAAGCCUAACUAGACAUCCCAGUCGGACUCCCUCUGCCUCUGUCUCCCUUCCGGCUCCACCAACCAUCCUCCUUUCCGCGAGCCCUUCAUCUUCCACCAUUCUUCCCCUUUUCUUUGGAUUCUUAUCCGAUACCGUGAGCUUUAUCCAUUACCCUUGCGCUUUAUCUGAUUCCUCUCAUGAUCCAUACUUUCUUCGUCCGUGA